CUGUGAUGAAUGCGGCCAACUGUGAAAACUAUUAUGUGUUCCUUGUCUUUUAACGGAUUAUGUUCUAGCACAGGGUACAGCUGAAUUACCAUGUAACCAAUCUCUGCUAAUAAUUACGCCAAUGUAUCCCGACUCAGACUUAAGGCAUGUUGUAUUCAGUAUGAGAAACAGAAGAUAACUGAAUCGUGGCUUUCUCUGGAGACCCAGAGUCCUCUGUUCCACCAGUACAAACUACAAUAUCCUCAACUGAGGGAGCGCUAAGCGUCCAGCCGGGAGAGAUCAUGGCAUUGACUCUGAUUAAUUUAGUUAAUUAUUAGCCUUGGGGUUCCUCCCCAGCAGUCACUCACAACACCCGCUCUAUCCCCUAUCCUGCCCUUUUAAAAGUAAGGAGGCCUUGAACAAGCAAUCAGAUGGGUAGCAAUUACAGAGUUUCUAUACUCAAAGGGUUCCUCGUCUUACAGCGCAGAUCUUCAGAGGAGUUCUGGAUGACAUCCUGCAGGAUCAUAAGAGAAAUCUUAGGGGAAGGAGAUGUGUGGGGAAGAAAGGGAGCAAUGGAAGAGGUUACUGCCUUAAGCCAGAGAAUGAGAAAUCAAUUACCGUCUCUAUCACAUGAUGAGAAAACUGAACGUACAUGCCUGUGGCAGACGCUUGUUCUUUAAAGACACAAAUAUGGCCUGUUAUUACGGCUCACAGCGGAAGAGGUCUGGGUGACACAGCGAACGUGAUGACCAAUCAAGGAGCAGGAAAAAAACAGUCCUUGGUUUCACGGCCAAAAUCAUCACGGAUACGAUUGUUUAAAUGAAGGACGAACUGUAUUUGAGUCAUCUUAAUGUGCUUGAGCUGCA